rnacentral:rRNA from 1 species
GACGAACGCUGGCGGCGUGCCUAAUACAUGCAAGUUGAGCGCUGAAGGAUGGUACUUGUACCCACUGGAUGAGCAGCGAACGGGUGAGUAACGCGUGGGGAAUCUGCCUUUGAGCGGGGGACAACAUCUGGAAACGACUGCUAAUACCGCAUAAAAACUUUAAACACAAGAUUUAAGUUUGAAAGAUGCAAUUGCCUCACUCAAAGAUGAUCCCGCGUUGUAUUAGCUAGUUGGUGAGGUAAAGGCCCACCAAGGCGAAGAUACAUAGCCGACCUGAGGGGGUGAUCGGCCACAUUGGGACUGAGACACGGCCCAAACUCCUAAGGGAGGCAGCAGUAGGGAAUUUUCGGCAAUGGACGAAAGUCUGACCGAGCAACGCCGGGGGAGUGAAGGAGGUUUUCGGAUCGGAAAACUCUGUUGGUAGAGAAGAACGUUGGUGAGAGUGGAAAGCUCAUCAAGUGACGGUAACUACCGAGAAAGGGACGGCUAACUACGU